UUUGAUCCAUCCUCAAUGUUGACAGUCAAGAGUCUGCUUUUGUCGAAAUUAACAGUAAGUCCCGACAACGCUUCUGAAGAGAAUAUAGUGGUUAAUACGACUCAUUUUAGAAUGCUGAAUAGGUUACAAAGUGUCUGUUUCAAUAGACAUCCGAUUAAAUUUAUGUGUUCUACCAACUGACGUAGCUGUUAGUGGCUUUGAAUAGUAACAAAGAACUUAUUCGGGCCCAAAACCGGCCGAAAUGCUGUGACUUGGUAUUUUGGUCAUUAUAAUUGUUGGUGUUGUCUGAAUUUCUUCAGAACAUGGAUGGAGCUACUGAUUAAUUUUGCUUCCUCUUUGUGAUCCUAAAGCAGGAAUUAUGAAAAACUAUUGGGUUGUGGUGGCUGUUGUCUAGUAUAUUCGAACUUCUGGUUAUAGGUACUGGAAAGAGAAAUAAGUACUGAAAAGAAAUAAGACUCGGAUUAAUCUAGCAAAGUAUAAGUAGUUCGGUUAUGGUGAAGCAUCUCUCCCUUGUGGAGUGCUAGUUAUCAAGCCUUGCAUGAUCUACAAGUAUGUUACUCGUGUGAGUCUUUUUCUCUUUUGAUUUAUAUCUUGUACAGGAUGCUGAUGCUUCUGCCAGAAAAGAGGCAGCUGCGAGGAAGCGUGUGGAGGAUAUAGCUGCAGGAGUUGUUCAGAUGAAUGGCCGUGAACUCUUUGAGCACGAGCCUUGGGUUUUCGAUGACACAAGUUACUAGGGUUAGUUUUAUGGCUUCACACAUCUUGUCAAUGCAGUCUGAUUUUUACUAGCUUUGAAUAGUGGAAGUUUCCAGACUGUUGUAUUAUAUGUUUCUUGAUUUGCAUUCAUUUUAACAUAAAAUUUAAAACUUUGAACACAGUCACAUUUGCUUUUGUUUGGCUCUUUUUCCUCCCCUUUCCAUUGUAGGAAAAAUAUCCAUCGCGAAAUCGAAGCAAUCAUGUGCUUUUAUGUAUGGGAGAAAAUCUAUCUAUUAUACUAAAGGAAAGUUGUAUCAUAUAUGCAUGAAAUUUCCAUCCAAAAACUUACUUUUCCCAUCCCCGUUCAAAUAUUCUCAUGCAAAAAAUAUUUUUUUAUUGCUACACCAACCCAUUAUAUUUUGACUGAUGUGUUUAUUCUUUAAACGAGCAAUCUAAAUUCACCACUUCCCAUGCAUCUAUUCAGUUUCCCCAUAAAAGCUCUAUUUUUUGAAAAUCUAAAUUAAUUUUACAUUUUUAGGGCUGCUGCCUUUUCAUUUUCCCAAAUGCAGAUUUCGAAUUACGCUAUUUCAAUUCUAGGCCAUUCUUCUAUUGAGAGUAUAUAUACUUCUUUUAAGAUGCUUUUGCGACGCCUUCUACUUUUGAAUUUUUGCACUUUUUUUCAUUAUGCUUCCUAAGUUUUACACUUCAUUCGUCAAUUCAAAUUUGGUUAAUCAAUUUUUGAUCUUUUUUAUUGAUUACAUUAUAAUAGAAGAUUAUAUUAAAAAUAAUUCUAAAACUGGAAUCUUUGUUUAACGUUUGCAGAUUUGACAUGGAGUACCAAUAGCAACAACUCAUGGAAUGCUUUGAAGUAUUUAAGUAGUGGAGAGGAAAAGUGGAAUGCAUGAAGGUAGGAGAACAAUGUGGAACUAUUAUGUAGGAUUUUAAAGGGAUAAAUAGGAAAAUUUGUUACUUCGAUAGGAAAUUAAAGGAGAGAUCUUAUCUUAUGGAUUUGAAUAUAUCAAAUGAAGAGAACUCCACAAAAGGUAGACGCGCAGGUUUUUUGAUUCAUUAAGACUUAUAAUGAAUCCCUAAACCUGAGUGUGAAUAAUUAUCUGAGACCUUGACUUUUUAUGUUUUGCCUAACCACUUUAUCAUAGUUUGGACUUCAAAUUUAUUGCAGCUAAUGUAGUAUGUUAAAUAUCAUAAUAUGAUGCAUCAUAAAAAAAAUAAAAAUUAA
rnacentral:lncRNA from 1 species